rnacentral:rRNA from 1 species
UUCCGGUUGAUCCUGCCGGAAGCCAUUGCUAUCCGAGUCCGACUAAGCUAUGCGAGCCGAGAGUCUCCGGGACUCGGCGAACUGCUCCGUAAUACGCAGAUAACCUACCCUUGAGUGGGGAACAAUCGCGGGAAACUGCGGCUAAUGCCCCAUAGGUGCUUGGUGCUGGAAUGCUCUUGCACCCAAAGCUCCGGCGCUCAAGGAUGGGUCUGUGGCCUAUCAGGCUGUUGUUGGUGUAAUGAACCAACAAACCGAUAACGGGUACGGGCUAUGGAAGUAGGUGCCCGGAGAUGGAUUCUGAGACAUGAAUCCAGGCACUACGGUGUGCAGCAAGCGCGAAACCUUUACAAUGCAUUCACGUGCAAUAAGGGGACCUGGAGUGCUCCAGCACUGCUGGAGCUUUUGUUCACUUUAAAUAGGUGGGCGAAUAAGGGCUGGGUAAUACAGGUGCCAGCCGCCGCGGUAAUACCUGAGGCCCAAGUGAUGGCCACUAUUAUUGGGUCUAAAGCGUCCGUAGCCGGUCUAGUAAGUUCCUGGUGAAAUCCUUUAGCAAACUGAAGGGCGUGCUGGGAAUACUACUAGGCUUGAGACCGGGAGAGGGUAGAGGUACCUAUGGGGUAGGGGUUAAAUCCUGUAAUCCUGUAGGGACCACCUGUGGCGAAGGCGUCUACCUGGAACGGGUCUGACGGUGAGGGACGAAAGCGUGGGUAGCGACCGGGAUUAGAUACCCCGUUAGUCCACGCCGUAAACGAUGCCCGCUUGGUGUUGUAGGCUUCUUGGGAGCCUGCAGUGCCGGAGCGUAGGUGUUAAGCGGGCCACCUGGGGAGUACGUCCGCAAGGAUGAAACUUAAGGGAAUUGGCGGGGGAGCACACAAGGGGUGGGCACUGCGGUUCAAUUGGAUUCAACGCCGGG